UCUUAGGGAUGAGCAAAGAAGGUGGUUUCCUGAGUUGGAACCUGCUCCAGGUGAAGUUGCUGUGAA
rnacentral:pre_miRNA from 1 species